GAUGAAGAACGUAGUAAAAUGCGAUAAGUAAUGUGAAUUGCAGAAUUCAGUGAAUCAUCGAGUCUUUGAACGCACAUUGCGCCCCCUGGUAUUCCGGGGGGCACGCCUGUCCGAGCGUCAUUGCUGCCCUCAAGCACGGCUUGUGUGUUGGGCCUCCGUCCUCCUCCCGGGGGACGGGCCCGAAAGGCAGCGGCGGCACCGCGUCCGGUCCUCGAGCGUAUGGGGCUUCGUCACCCGCUCUUGUAGGCCCGGCCGGCGCUUGCCGACACAUCAAUCUUUUUUCCAGGUUGACCUCGGAUCAGGUAGGGAUACCCGCUGAACUUAAGCAUAUCAAUAAGCGGAGGA
rnacentral:misc_RNA from 1 species